CCUACGGGUGGCAGCAGUGAGGAAUAUUGGUCAAUGGCCGUAAGGCUGAACCAGCCAAGUAGCGUGAGGGAAGACUGCUCUAUGGGUUGUAAACCUCUUUUAUGCGGGGAUAAAGGUGUCCACGUGUGGAUGUUUGCAGGUACCGCAUGAAUAAGGACCGGCUAAUUCCGUGCCAGCAGCCGCGGUCAUACGGAGGGUCCGGGCGUUAUCCGGAUUUAUUGGGUUUAAAGGGAGCGUAGGCGGGUCUGUAAGCGUGCCGUGAAAUUUUGUGGGUCAACCAUGAGAGUGCGGGGGGAACUGGAGGGGUGGAGUGCGGGGAGGGCAGGCGGGAGUCGUGGUGGAGGGGGG
rnacentral:rRNA from 1 species